ensembl:piRNA 21ur-6451 ncRNA
UUUUGAUGAUGAUCCAGCUAA